rnacentral:rRNA from 1 species
GACGAACGCUGGCGGCGUGCUUAACACAUGCAAGUCGAACGGAAAGGCCCUGCUCUUGUGGCUUGCUCGAGUGGCGAACGCGUGAGUAACACGUGAGUAACCUCCACUUGACUUUGGGAUAACUUCAGGGAACUGGGGCUCAUACCGGAUAGGAGCUCCUGCUGCAUGGGGGGGGUUGGAAAGUUUCGGCGGUUGGGGAUGGACUCGCGGCUUAUCAGCUUCUUUGUGGGGUAGUGGCUUACGAAGGGUUUGACGGGUAGCCGGCCUGGGAGGGUGACCGGGGACCAGAGGCCUAAGGUACGGACCAGUAGGGUACGGGAGGCAGCGGUGGAGAAUAUUGCACAGUAGGCGGAAGCGUGAUGCAGAAGUGCUGCGAGCGGGAUGCCGGGUUUCGGGUUGAAAACAGCUUUGGAAUGUGCCGAAGCGUGCGUGACGGUAAUGGGUAAGGAAGCACCGGCUAACUACGUG